rnacentral:lncRNA from 1 species
AUGGCGCGCGAAGUGGAGCGCCAGCGAGCUCUGGGAACUCUGAGGCCGCCAUCUCCAACAGAGCUCCCAACCCCCCGAAUGGGCGUCGGGGUGGAAAGGCCACUGGGGCCAGGGAUCGGGUCCAGUGGAUUUGCAGACGAAGGCGGAGAGGAGCGGGGGAUCCAGGAAGAGGAGGAGGAAGUGCCGUACGACGAGGAAAGGCGAGAUGAGGGGGCUACAGCGAGGCCAGUAUGCGGAUGGGCGGAAGGGCCGACAGCGGCGGCAGACUUUCGGGAGCCGCGCAGAAUGACCACCGGAGUGGGGCGCGGCGUGUUCCAAGGAGCCGCCCGAGGAAACCUGAUGCAACCCUUCCCCAUGCCUCCCAGACAGCAUCAACGGGCCGCAGAAUGGAUGCCAAGAAGGGAAGAUCUCAAACUGGAAUACGGAGGGGAAUCAGAUGAACUGAACUUUUUUCUAAUUAGCAUCAGAGGAUACAUGGAAGACAAUGCACACACAUUCCCCUCCGAAGCAAGCAGGGUUCGAGCCAUCGGCAACACACUAAAGCGAGGAGCAGCCAGCUGGUACGUGCAACUCCAUGCCAGACACGACCCAUGCCUGAGGUCAGUGCCCCGCUUCCUCGCCGCACUGGAAAACCGGUUCAGAGACCGGCUAGAGCAAUUGAGGGCUCGAGACCAGCUGAAAGGAAUAAAGCAGAGGGACAAAACAGUGCCCGAGUACGCAGAGGAAUUCCUCCACCUCGCGGAAAGGGUACCAGAGUGGUCUGAAGUGACCAAAGUGGAGUUAUUUAAAGAGGGACUACGCCCCGAGAUUUUCAGCUGGGCAGCGCACAGAGAUGACCCCGAAACGCUCCAGGGAUGGAUUCAACUAGCGGGGCGCGUCGAAUCCACCCUGGCCCAAGUAAAGCGCUUCAGAAGCAGCAGCGGCCAGCAAAGACCGGUGGCGAGAGGUCGAGGAGAAACGAGGAAGCAGGAAAGACCCGGAGAGAGGCGGGGGAUUCCCUCCAGGGAGACGAACAACAAACUUAAACGGGGAUGCUUUUGUAUUGUG